rnacentral:lncRNA from 1 species
UUGACUGAUUAGUUGAAGAGUUCCAAAGACCAGGGGAAAGAAAGCGAUUAUAAGCAACUAUUCAAAUUGAAAGCUUAGAGAUCUUCUUUCUUCCCUCUGAGCGGCACCUUCGGUGGCCGUGGGGUCCUGUGGCUGCGUUUGAAUGUCUCUUCUGCCUCCGACAAGCUGGAUGGAAAUGGCAGGUUAUGCAGAAUCUCUCAACUUUGAUUUCCUCAGAUGUCAAAUGACCAGAAGCCCCACAAGCCAGGGCCUGUCUCUGUUUGGGGCAGCAAGGCCUGCUUAGCCAUGUUCGAAACUCAGCCCCGAUGACUAGAUGCACAGAAUUUUCAUUCUGCUGAAAGGCCAAAGGACACUAACAAAGAUGCCAAAGCUGAAAACUGUUUGGAGAACAAGAAACAAAUGAGGAGAGAAAACUGCAGCCUUUGAUUCCAUAAUGAAUUUUGCAUAAAGGGCUGCGUAUUACCGUACGCCAGAGACCAUGCUGCCACACAGUCUGCGUUCCAUUUUUUAUGAGAAAGAGGAAGGUGGAAAAAACAACACUAAAUUGAUAUUUAGUAUUAAAGAAGGUGUAUUUAAGCAUAUAUCUUGAUUUGAGCACGUGGACCCAAACCAUUUGUAUUUUAUAAUCUAGUAAAAUCUUGGAGCUGAAAGAAGCAUCUUCUAGAUGAGCAAACUGAAGCAUCUGGGCCUUAGGUCACAGCCCUGGCCCUUCAGCACAUGGUGGCCGACUUGGGAACAGGGGCCGCGGGGCUUGUCCCUUUGCCCACACCUCCCUGCCUCGGAGAUUUAGCGCCUGGCUCUAGGGGUGACCCCCGUCCCCAAGCGCACUCUUCUCCCUGCUCUUGAGAAGGUCACACCUUCCUUUCAUCUCUCCCGAGCACCUGCUACGUGCCAUUCUUGGCUCUCAGGCUCAGAGGAGGACAGGUGCGGCUCCUAUGCCCUUGCCAUCCAGUGGGCAAAGCCGUGGGUAAAAGAGCUUCGACAUGUGAAACAACGUGACUUCAGGCCAUGUCCCUGCUCAGGGGGACA